CACGUAGGGCGCAAGCGUUGUCCGGAAUUAUUGGGCGUAAAGAGCUCGUAGGCGGUCUGUUGCGUCCGCUGUGAAAACCCGGGGCUUAACCCUGGGCUGGCAGUGGAUACGGACAGACUAGAGGUAGGUAGGGGAGAAUGGAAUUCCCGGUGUAGCGGUGAAAUGCGCAGAUAUCGGGAGGAACAUCAGUGGCGAAAGCGACUUCCUGGACCAAUACUGACGCUCAUGUGCGAAAGCGUGGGGAGCAAACAGG
rnacentral:rRNA from 1 species